AUUGAACGCUGGCGGCAGGCUUAACACAUGCAAGUCGAGCGGAGAUGAGGUGCUUGCACCUUAUCUUAGCGGCGGACGGGUGAGUAAUGCUUAGGAAUCUGCCUAUUAGUGGGGGACAACAUUCCGAAAGGAAUGCUAAUACCGCAUACGCCCUACGGGGGAAAGCAGGGGAUCUUCGGACCUUGCGCUAAUAGAUGAGCCUAAGUCGGAUUAGCUAGUUGGUGGGGUAAAGGCCUACCAAGGCGACGAUCUGUAGCGGGUCUGAGAGGAUGAUCCGCCACACUGGGACGGAGACACGGCCCAGACGCCUACGGGAGGCAGCAGUGGGGAAUAUUGGACAAUGGGCGGAAGCCUGAUCCAGUCAUGCCGCGUGUGUGAAGAAGGCCUUUUGGUUGUAAAGCACUUUAAGCGAGGAGGAGGCUACCUGGAUUAAUACUCUAGGAUAGUGGACGUUACUCGCAGAAUAAGCACCGGCUAACUCUGUGCCAGCCGCCGCCGUAAAAC
rnacentral:rRNA from 1 species